rnacentral:rRNA from 1 species
AGUGAACGCUGGCGGUAGGCCUAACACAUGCAAGUCGAACGGCAGCACAGUAAGAGCUUGCUCUUACGGGUGGCGAGUGGCGGACGGGUGAGGAAUACAUCGGGAUCUACUUUUUCGGGGGGGUUAACGUAGGGGAACUUACUCUAAUACCGCAUACGACCUACGGGGGAGAGCGGGGGAACGUCGGGCCGGGCGCGAAUGAAUGAGCCGCUGACGGUUUAGCUAGUUGGGGGGGUAAAGGCCCACCAAGGCGAGGAUACGUAGCUGGUGUGAGAGGCUGGUCAGCCACCCUGGAACUGAGACACGGUCCAUGCUCCUACGGGAGGCCGCAGUGGGGAAUGUUGGACAAUGGGCGCAAGCCUGAUCCAGCCAUACCGCGUGGGUGACGAAGGCCUUCGGGUUGUAAAGCCCUUUUGUUAGGAAAGAACAGCAGCCGGUUAAUACCCCGCUGUUCUGACGGUACCCAAAGAAUAAGCACCGGCUAACUUCGUG